rnacentral:rRNA from 1 species
AUUGAACGCUGGCGGCAGGCCUAACACAUGCAAGUCGAACGAGUGGCGGACGGGUGAGUAAUGUCUGGGAAACUGCCUGAUGGAGGGGGAUAACUACUGGAAACGGUAGCUAAUACCGCAUACCAUCGGAUGUGCCCAGAUGGGAUUAGCUUGUUGGUGGGGUAACGGCUCACCAAGGCGACGAUCCCUAGUUGGUCUGAGAGGAUGACCAGCCAGACUGGUGCUGAUACACGGUCCAGACUCCUCCGGGAGGCAGCAGUGGGGAAUAUUGCAAAAGGGGCGCAAGCCUGAUGCAGCCAUGCCGCGAGUAUGACGAAGGCCUUCGGGUUGUAGAGUACUUUCAGCGGGGAGGCGUUACCCGAAGAAGAAGCACCGGCUAACUCCGUGCCAGCAGCCGCGGUAAUAC